CGGCGGCUCCCGCGGGCGCGGCUGAGGGGAGGGCGCGGCGGGGGGCGGGCUGACUGCGCCCCGGGCGGCCGCAGGUCUGGGCCGGCCCCGGAGUAGGGGGGCCGCGGCGGGCGGCUCGUGCGUGCCAAGCGCGACAUGGCGCGGAGGCCGAGCAGCCCCGGAGGCCCAGUGAGCACGGGGAGGGGCUAGAAGCCGGCCGGACAACCAUUAGCGAGCGGGGGCCGGGCGGCUCGGGAACUAUAUUUCCCAGGGGGCGUAGCGGCCGCGGCCGGAAGCGGCGCGCCUGAGGCCCAGUGCGCAGGCGCCUGCGUCGCCUUGGUCUAUAUAAGGAAGGUCCGCCAUCGCCGUCGUUCUUUCGUUCCUGAGACGCCCUGGUGUCCCUUUUGUGUGCGAUGUCUCGUCCACGCGGGAGUUAUUUGCGGAUGGUUGGCUUGAUGAAGCGACACGGAGCAGGGGUUGGAGGGAUAGAAGACGGCACCUUUGCGCCUCCAGGGAGAUGAGAGAAUACAUCUGCGGUCUUCGACCUCCUAAUCUCUUCAAGGGUUUCUCUGUAGCUUUGGAGCCUAUCCUGGCACUCCCCCUGGAAACCAGUCUGGCCUUGAACUCACAGAGAUCCGCCUACCUCUGCCUCCUGAGUGCUGGAAUUAAAGGUUUGCUGACAGCCAAGACGAGGUUUUGAAUGGAGAAAGAAUCCGGAAGUCAGACAGGAUUGGCCUGAGGGAGCCAUGGAUGCCAGUGUGUGGAUCUGCUCUUGCUUGAUUUCAGUGUCCUGAAACCGGCACUUCUCUGGAGCACAGACCUUGAUCAGCGCCGCUUCCUGCUGGCCCUGUUCCAUGAGGACCAAGGGCUAUGUAUAAUCCAAAAGGAGUUUUCUUUCUAGACUUGGGUAUGGUAUAGUGUGUGCUUUCACUGGAAAUACUAAAUAACAGACACCUUUGGCCUCCUGUCUGUAGAAAUAAAAAUCUGACCAGGUAACUUACCAGCCCUGUAUUUCAUGUGUCUACCGUGGAUAAUCGUAGGAUCUGGUCCCCAAUGUAGCUUCUUCACUUACAUAUUCCCAUUUGUUCUGCCUAGGAUCAGACUGUCAGUCUGAAUUACUCUAAGCCCGCCGUCCUUUUUAUUAGUCCAAACAUCAGGGUGGCCUGAGUCAGUGAUAUUCCUUUUCCUGCUUGGUGCCUCAGUUCCCUCCCUCCCGUCCAAACUUUGAAUAAGACACUUGGCUAGAGAAGGCAGGGUGGUGUUGGCACUUGAGUGCUGGUACCUACCACUUGGUUACCCAGCUUGUGAAAGACUCCCAGCUGGAGUGGCCAUCUUGGGUGAGUCAUGGCUAACUCAGCUGAGGUGAGACUUGACUGAGUGGCACAGUUUAUAGUCUGGGCCCCAUCAGGAUAAAGGCUUUAACUUGGGCUGCAGUGACCCUGUAAACUGAACUAGAAUAAACCCUUUUCUGUUGUUUUUCACAGGAGUACCUCCCCCACGGUUUCUAUGGUCAUUCCUUGAUUAGUGUUUAGUAAAGAGAACCAGGACUUAACAGCCAUCAAAUGGCUACCUGGAGGUUCACUUUGGCAUCUGCAGGACACUUCGAUUCAGGGUACCAAAUCUAGACUCUUAAAACACGCUAGGCAACCUGUCACAAGGAUGUGAAGGUCCUAAGACAACUUGGUACUGAGAUUUUGUUUCAGGGGUCAGGAUCACACUUGGGCUUGUGUGGUAGUGCUUUUACUGUAUGAGCCCAAAGCCUGAGUUUUAGGUUUAUUUUACCUGUGUAUGUGCACCACUUGGUAUUCCCUCAAACUGCAGAGCUAGAUCCACCUGCCUCUGAGUACUGGGAUUCAAGGUGCUUGCCACCAUAUCUGGACACAUGGGCUGAAUUUUGAAAAGAGAAAUAAGGGGCUGGAGAGAUGGCUCAGUGGUUAAGAGCACUGACUGCUCUCCUAGAGAACUUGUCUUCAAUUCCCAGCACCCACAUGGCAGCUCACUGCUGUCCAGUUCCGGGGGAUUUGACACUUCACACCAAUGCACAUAAAAUAAAAAGUUAAAUGUUUUCAAAACAGAAAUGGGUGAUAGGUAGGUAGAUCCUCUAAGUAUGCUUUUAAGAAGUGGUAUUUUUGUGAAUAACACCUGAAAUCCACUCUGGUGGGACAAAGGGGUUUUUUUGUGGGAGUGCUUAAAGGACAGCUGCUUUCUGGAUGUGGUUAUUCCAGGGUUUGCCUGGCUGUCUCAACCCAGUUUCUUCCCAUUUACAUUCUAAGAAUAACCAUGCUGUUUAAAAGUUACCUACCAGGUUCCAUGCCAAGGCCUAGCAUCUGUAGAACCCUGUCUCUGCUGUGGCAAGAGAUAACCUUAUUGCCCCAGUUUUGUGGGUGAGGGAAGUGGCAGUCAGCAAAUGGCUCUGCUGUGUCCCUUGCCUGGUCCUCUUUGCUGGAUGCUCCCAGGAAGAUAAAAGGGACAGCUCUCCUCCCUGUGGCUUCUUGGGUUCCCAGCUAGGACUUCAGAGGGAGAGGAAUCAGGUACAAGGCAGAGAUCCAGCUGCCUCAGGCCACUCCUCCGUCCAGCUGUUCUACAGACACCCACGGAUCUCACCUUUUAGACAGGAUAUCUAUCCCUGUCUGGCCUUGAACCUGCAAUCCUGCCUUCUGGGAUUCCGGCUUUCUUUCCCCUUUUGGGGGAGGGGGGUGUUUCAAGACAGGGUUUCUCUGUGUAGAUCAGGCUUUCCUGGAACUCAGAUCUGCCAACCUCUACUUCCCAAGUGCUGGUAUUAAAGGCAUGCACCACCAGGCCUGGUGAUUUUUAAGUUAUGAGUAUGCCUGUGUGUCUAUAGAUAUUCUCAUGUGAG
ensembl:lncRNA